CAGUCGCCGCGGUAAUACGAAGGGUGCAAGCGUUACUCGGAAUUACUGGGCGUAAAGCGCGCGUAGGUGGUUCGCCAAGUUGGAUGUGAAAUCCCCGGGCUCAACCUGGGAACUGCAUCCAAAACUGGCGAGCUAGAGUAUGGUAGAGGGUGGUGGAAUUUCCUGUGUAGCGGUGAAAUGCGUAGAUAUAGGAAGGAACAUCAGUGGCGAAGGCGACCACCUGGACUGAUACUGACACUGAGGUGCGAAAGCGUGGGGAGCAAACAGGAUUAGAUACCCCCGUAGUCCCUGUCUCUUAUAC
rnacentral:rRNA from 1 species